UCGAUGGUUGCCACUGUCGACUUUCGUAGUUUCGACAGUUCAGCAUCCUGAUCAGUUUUCACGGUGAUUAUAGUGAGCAAGCUUUAUUGAUAGUUUUGAAAAAUUUGCACAACGAAGGUGAAGGUGUUCAUGUAAAAGAUUACCAAGGGAUAUAAAUCAAAAGAAAAAAAAUGAUGUUGAGUCUUUGCCGUCAAGCGUUAAUAGUUAACAGUCAAAAAGUUAGUACAAGAUGCUUAGGAACAAUAGUACCAAUACCAAAUCCUAUUGAAUUUCCCUUGGAAAAUGAACCUGUUCUUAGCUAUAGGAAAGGUAGCCCAGAAAGGGCAGAGUUAGAGAAGGCAUUGGAUAAAAUGGCUAAUGAAUGUGAAGAAAUACCUCUUGUUAUCGGAAAUGAAGAAAUUAAGACAGAUUUGUGUAAAUAUCAAGUUAUGCCACAUAAUCAUAAAAUAAAGGUUGCAAAAUAUUAUUGGGCAACACCUGAUCUAGUCAAAAAAGCAAUAGAUGUUGCUGUGAAAGCUCAACGUGAAUGGGAAAAAUGUCCAUUCGAACAGCGUUUAGAAAUUUGGUUGAGGGCAGCUGAUUUGAUGGCUGCAAAGUACAGGCAACAAUUAAAUGCUGCCACAAUGCUUGGGCAGAGCAAAAGUGUUAUACAAGCAGAAAUCGAUAGUGCAGCAGAAUUAAUUGAUUUUUUUAGAAUGCAUGGAUAUUUUGCUAAAGAAGCUUUAAAAUAUCAACCAAUUUCACCCAAUUCUAAAGAAACAUUAAAUUCAAUGAGAUAUAGGGGGAUGGAUGGUUUUGUUGCAGCUGUAUCACCAUUCAACUUUACUGCCAUUGGUGGUAAUCUUAGCUAUACACCUGCUUUAAUGGGCAAUGCAGUACUUUGGAAGCCAUCUGAUACAGCUUUACUUUCUAAUUGGUGGAUUUUUAAGAUAUGCAAAGAAGCUGGUGUACCACCAGGUGUAGUUAAUUUUGUUCCAUGCAAUGGUCCUGAUUUUGGUGAUACUAUAACUGCUUCACCUUACUUGUCUGGAAUUAAUUUUACCGGAUCAGUUCCAACGUUUAAUCGUUUGUGGAUGCAAAUUGGUAAAAAUUUGGGAAAAUAUAAGAACUAUCCGAAAUUAAUAGGCGAAUGUGGUGGUAAAAAUUAUCAUUUUGUACAUGCGAGCGCUGAUGUGGAAUCAGUUAUUAAUGGGACCAUAAGAAGCGCUUUCGAAUUUAAUGGUCAGAAAUGUUCAGCUUGCAGUAGAAUGUAUAUUCCAGAAUCAUUGUGGCCACAGAUAAAGGAGGGUCUUCUAUCGAUUCGUGACACACUUAAGAUUGGCGACGUCAGAGAUUUCACCGUGUUCACCGGGGCUGUCAUAGAUGCUGUUGCAUUCAAAAGAAUUUCUGGUUACAUCGAACAUGCUAGAAAGUCAUCAAAUCUAGAAAUUAUUGGCGGUGGAAAAUAUGAUAAUUCACUUGGGUAUUUCAUUGAUCCAACGAUAGUAGUAACAAAAGAUCCUAAAGAUAAGAUAAUGACAGAAGAAAUAUUUGGCCCUGUGUUAACAAUAUACGUUUAUAAAGAUUCAAAUCUCGACGAAACCAUGAAACUGGUAGAAUCCUCAACACCGUAUGCUUUAACUGGAUCGAUAUUUUCACAAGACGAAAAAUGGGCAAAAAGAGCUCUAGAGGAAUUUAAAUACACAGCUGGUAAUUUCUAUAUUAACGACAAAUCGACUGGUUCUGUUGUCGGUCAGCAGCCAUUUGGUGGCAGUCGAAUGUCUGGAACAAACGAUAAAGCUGGAGGUCCCCACUACGUUCUUCGUUGGGCAUCGCCACAGUCAAUCAAAGAAACGUUCAUUCCUUUGCGUGAACACAGUUACGCGUACAUGAGGUCUUAAAUGUAACGUACGAAGAAGAUGAACACAAGAUCAAAUAAUAUUUGUAAACUACUUUCAAAGUAGUCCCAAUAUAAACAAAAGUCCACCUUAAUAUUUGCUGCCAAUAGAUGAAACUAAUGUUCUGCAAGUUGCAGUGUAUAGAGUCUAUAUUAUUAAGAUCAAGUUUCAGUACAAUAAUAUUUUAAUAUCUCAGGAAUUACCAUAUGUGGUUGCAAACAAAGAGGCAUUUCUUUUGGUCGUACAUUGCAGUGAUACAUGAAAUUUUAUAACAAUAUUAUUCAGAUCAUUUACAAUGGCUGAAAUUACGUUAUAAACGCGCAGCGUAAAUAUUCAUUUUACUGUGUAAUUUACAAGACAAUAUGUAGACGCGGGACGAACACAGUAAAAUGCAAAAGUUACCCUUAAAUUGUGUUGUCAAGCCUGAUCGUCGAUCGUUUAGGCAUGUUAUUGUUAACAGUGUGAUUGAGACAAAGCAUCUUGCAAAUCGAACAAUGAUUAUUAAUUAAAUAUACAGUAAUAUGUUAGAUGUUGUGGCUGAUGUUAUGAUGUAAUUUAUUUUAAGUGUACCAUAGCAAUAAAAUACUAUACAAUUAGA
rnacentral:misc_RNA from 1 species